CUGCAUCUUUGACAGCCUGGACUCUUACUUUUUAAGAGAUGCUGGGUUUUAAUUUGUAGAUGCUAAAUUAAAUGUCCCCGCGCUUUCUGCUCGCCUUGUCUGUGGCGUCCCAGAUUGAAGAGGGGAGGACAGUU
ensembl:snoRNA